CAUUACAAGAAGAAAAAUUUUGUCUGUUCUUGUCUUUUGAUGACGGAAGUACCCGAAGAGUCCUGAAGAGUCAGUCGCCAGGCUGUAAAAUGCGAGCCUCUCAUUAACAUAUUGUGCCUCUUGGCGUCAAGUAGUCUUUUAAAUAAUUAUUCAUUUUUACAAAUUUUGUGGCUGCAAAUAUUUUUUGGGAAAAUUUUCUUCUUUUUCGAAUUCGGUAACGACCCUCGGCAUUGUUAAGAGAAAUUGUUUUCGUUUCGUCCUUGUCUAUCUUCACUUCUUCGACAAUAAAAAGAUAUUUUUGUUCAACAAUCAUCAGUAAUAAAUCCGAAAGAAAAAGAAGACUCAACAGUUCACCGAAGUGUUCCUCAGAAAUGCCGGAAAAUCUUAAAACUGAAUUUAAGGUUUAGCUUUAAAUGUAUUAGAUUAGUUUUCGUCGAGUGUGAAAAAUAUUUUUGUGUUGAAAUUUAUUUAGCUAGGUAUUUUGUAACAAAUUGUAUUAGCCAGGAAAUUAGAAAAGUAAGUUAAUAGUUUUAAAGACAAAAAAUAAUUUUAAUUGCACACAAGAGGAGCAACGCCAUCGUCAACUUUACAGCACCUUUUUCUCACCGAUGAUUUGGGUGCAAAUAAAGUGAAGUCGGCAUCUCAAUUUCUUGUAGGGAAAACGCACUUUACUUAUUUUCUGGGGAGCAGGACAACUUCUUCCAGGAGUGGCAGGAAUUGUUUUCCUCCUGGCAAAAAAGAUGGUUCAAGUCUGAUGCUACCUUUGGAUCGACAACAGUUAUUUUGUGUUAAUUUAAGAAGAAAAAAGAAUUACAAGAAAAUGUACUUUUUUAAGAAGUAAAAUAAAAGUUUUUUCUAAAAUAAAA